rnacentral:rRNA from 1 species
UACGUAGGGGGCAAGCGUUGUCCGGAAUUAUUGGGCGUAAAGCGCGCGCAGGCGGUCUUUUAAGUCUGAGGUUUAAUUGCAGGGCUCAACCCUGUAUCGCCUCGGAAACUGGGAGACUGGAGUGUAGGAGAGGAAAGUGGAAUUCCACGUGUAGCGGUGAAAUGCGUAGAGAUGUGGAGGAACACCAGUGGCGAAGGCGACUUUCUGGCCUAUAACUGACGCUGAGGCGCGAAAGCGUGGGGAGCAAACAGGAUUAGAUACCCUGGUAGUCCACGCCGUAAACGAUGAGUGCUAGGUGUUAGGGGUUUCGAUACCCUUGGUGCCGAAGUUAACACAGUAAGCACUCCGCCUGGGGAGUACGCUCGCAAGAGUGAA